GAUGAGCGCUGGCGGCGUGCUUAAGACAUGCAAGUCGAACGCAGUCCGGUCGCAAGACUGGGCUGAGUGGCGAAUGGGUGCGUAACACGUAGGUGACCUGCCCGGAAGUGGGGAAUAACAGUCCGAAAGGACUGCUAAUACCGCAUACGGUGCACGGGUUUUGAAGCCGUGCUCCAAAGGUUUGCGCAAGCGAGCCGCUUUCGGAGGGGCCUGCGGCCCAUCAGCAGUUGGUAGGGUAACGGCCUACCAAGGCGACGACGGGUAGGGGACCUGAGAGGGUGACCCC
rnacentral:rRNA from 1 species